GUGGGGAAUAUUGCGCAAUGGGGGAAACCCUGACGCAGCAACGCCGCGUGAGUGAAGAAGGUUUUCGGAUCGUAAAGCUCUUUCGUUAGGGACGAACGUGCUCUUUGUGAAUAAUGAGGAGUAAUGACGGUACCUAAAUAAGAAGCCACGGCUAACUACGUGCCAGCAGCCGCGGUAAUACGUAGGUGGCAAGCGUUGUCCGGAAUUAUUGGGCGUAAAGCGCGCGCAGGCGGGAUAUCAAGUCUGUCUUAAAAGUGCGAGGCUCAACCUCGUGAGGGGACAGAAACUGGUAUUCUUGAGUGUCGGAGAGGAAAGUGGAAUUCCAAGUGUAGCGGUGAAAUGCGUAGAGAUUUGGAAGAACACCAGUGGCGAAGGCGACUUUCUGGACGAUGUCUGACGCUGAGGCGCGAAAGCUAGGGGAGCGAACGGGAUUAGAUACCCCUGUAGUCC
rnacentral:rRNA from 1 species